AGUGAAAAAGUAUGUGUGAUUGGUUCGAAGAUCCUAUAUUCAAGAAAAAAUCAGAAGCCAAUACAAAGAACCGUGCCAUGUUACCCUAUCCGCACACUGGCGGUUCAAAAUCAAAUCAUGUUCGAGCACAAGAGAUGGUUCCACCAAGUGCAAUUGAUG